UACUCGAGUGGCGAACGGGUGAGUAACACGUGGGUGAUCUGCCCUGCACUUCGGGAUAAGCUUGGGUAACUGGGUCUAAUACCGGAUAGGAGCCAUCUUUAGUGUGGUGGUUGGAAAGUUUUUUCGGUGUAGGAUGAGCUCGCGGCCUAUCAGCUUGUUGGUGGGGUAAUGGCCUACCAAGGCGGCGACGGGUAGCCGGCCUGAGAGGGUGUACGGCCACAUUGGGACUGAGAUACGGCCCAG
rnacentral:rRNA from 1 species